AUCUACGGCCAGACCACCCUGAAGGCACUUGAUCUCAUCUGCUUUCAGAAGCUAAGCAGGGUUGGGCCUGGUUAGUACAUGGAUGGCAGAACUGGUUAGUACUUGGAUGGGAGAAUGCCUGGGAAUUAGGUU
rnacentral:rRNA from 1 species